UUUCCCGCAAACACCUAAGUAGGAAAUUAUUCCUGGUGGUCAGUGUGGUAGUCAGCACCACUCUUUGUGUUGUUGGUCAACAUAGGGAUUAAUUCGCAAGGCAGUCAUGAGCUCUUCAAGGGCAUUUCUGCACGUAUGGGCAGAUGAGGAAAAAGUCACUGGUGUUUCCUUUGUCCAAAGUCCAUUCUUCCUUGGAGCUGCAAACACUUUCUUGAAAAGAUGAGGCCUUUAUCCUUACGAACACAUUCUGCAGACUGAUUCUCUUUGGCUCAAAGAUUUCCUGUCCCGUAAUGGAAAGUAGGUGUGACGUUCUGUUUGAUAAUCCCAGGCCAGAGAUCUUGGAUGCAGGCUAUUUCAACAUGGGAAACUGAAAUCGGGCAUAUCCCUGCGGAAGAAGCUGUCUCUUAGCGAAGAAUAAAACUGUGGACUGACCCCCACCCAUUUGCGAAGAAAGUACUGGGUCUUCAGCUUUCAUUGUUCAGCCGGUGGUCUUUGUGGACAACACCAGGGGCCCCUCCUGCUGAAGACUGUCUGGACUUCCUGAUUUUCACUCCUGUAUAAACCCCCUCCCCCAUUACUACCUUUGUCUCCUUGGGGAAAAAAAAUGUUUUUCACUUAAGCAAAAUAAUAACUACCCAGUAUUUGUUUCUGGAGUGAAAUUGUAAACUUCAUUGUACAUUCUUCCUGGCUUUGAUGCUUAUCGUGAAGAGUUCAGUGAAAAUAAAUUGUUUUUAUGAAAGCAGA
rnacentral:lncRNA from 1 species